ACGAACGCUGGCGGCGUGCCUAAUACAUGCAAGUCGUGCGGACCUUGUUGAAAGCUUGCUUUUAAAAGGUUAGCGGCGGACGGGUGAGUAACACGUGGGCAACCUGCCUGUAAGACUGGGAUAACGCCGGGAAACCGGGGCUAAUACCAGAUCGUUUUUUCCUCCGCAUGGAGGAAAAAGGAAAGGCGGCUUCGGCUGCCACUUACAGAUGGGCCCGCGGCGCAUUAGCUAGUUGGCGGGGUAAUGGCCCACCAAGGCAACGAUGCGUAGCCGACCUGAGAGGGUGAUCGGCCACAUUGGGACUGAGACACGGCCCAAACUCCUACGGGAGGCAGCAGUAGGGAAUCUUCCGCAAUGGACGAAAGUCUGACGGAGCAACGCCGCGUGAGUGAAGAAGGCCUUCGGGUCGUAAAACUCUGUUGCCGGGGAAGAACAAGUGCCGUUCGAACAGGGCGGCGCCUUGACGGUACCCGGCCAGAAAGCCACGGCUAACUACGUG
rnacentral:rRNA from 1 species